rnacentral:rRNA from 1 species
GAUGAACGCUGGCGGCGUGCCUAAUACAUGCAAGUCGAGCGAACAGACGAGGAGCUUGCUCCUUCGACGUUAGCGGCGGACGGGUGAGUAACACGUAGGUAACCUACCUAUAAGACUGGGAUCACUUCGGGAAACCGGAGCUAAUACCGGAUAAUAUUUCGAACCGCAUGGUUCGAUAGUGAAAGAUGGCUUUGCUAUCUCUUAUCGAUGGACCUGCGCCGUAUUAGCUAGUUGGUAAGGUAACGGCUUACCAAGGCAACGAUACGUAGCCGACCUGAGAGGGUGAUCGGCCACACUGGAACUGAGACACGGUCCAGACUCCUACGGGAGGCAGCAGUAGGGAAUCUUCCGCAAUGGGCGAAAGCCUGACGGAGCAACGCCGAGUGAGUGAUGAAGGUCUUCGGAUCGUAAAACUCUGUUAUUAGGGAAGAACAAACGUGUAAGUAACUGUGCACGUCUUGACGGUACCUAAUCAGAAAGCCACGGCUAACUACGUG